GGAGGCAGCAGUGGGGAUAUGACAUGGCGGCAAGCUGAUCAGCAUGCCGCGUGAGUGAUGAAGGCCUCCGGGUGUAAGCUCUUUCAGCAGGGACGAAAUUGACGGUACCUGCAGAAGAAGGUCCGGCCACUACGUGCCAGCAGCCGCGGUAAUACGUAGGGACCGAGCGUGUCCGGAUUUAUUGGGCGUAAAGAGCGCGUAGGCGGCUAUCCACGUCGGAUGUGAAAGCUCAGGGCUCAACCCUGAGAGGCCAUUCGAUACGGGAUAGCUAGAGGUAGCUAGGGGAGAGCGGAAUUCCUGGUGUAGCGGUGAAAUGCGCAGAUAUCAGGAGGAACACCGGUGGCGAAGGCGGCUCUCUGGGGCUUACCUGACGCUGAGGCGCGAAAGCUGGGGGAGCGAACAGGAUUAGAUACCCUGGUAGUCCCAGCCGUAAACGUUGAGUGCUAGGUGUGGGGAGGUCUUCAACCCUCUCCGUGCCGCAGCUAACGCAUUAAGCACUCCGCCUGGGGAGUACGGCCGCAAGGCUAAAACUCAAAGGAAUUGACGGGGACCCGCACAAGCGGCGGAGCAUGUGGCUUAAUUCGAUGCAACGCGAAGAACCUUACCUAGGCUUGACAUGCUAGUUAAAGCGGGUGAAAGCCCGUGUCCGUAAGGGGCUAGCACAGGUGCUGCAUGGCUGUCGUCAGCUCGUGCCGUGAGGUGUUGGCUUAAGUGCCGCAACGAGCGCAACCCCUGUCCUUAGUUGCCAGCACGUAAUGGUGGGGACUCUAAGGAGACUGCCGGGGACAACUCGGAGGAAGGUGGGGAUGACGUCAAGUCCUCAUGGCCCUUAUGUCUAGGGCUGCACACAUGCUACAUUGCGCGCUACAGAGGGCUGCGAUACCGCGAGGUGGAGCGAAUCCCAGAAAAGCGCGCCUGGUUCGGAUUGCAGUCUGCAACUCGACUGCAUGAAGUCGGAGUCGCUAGUAAUCGCAGAUCAGCAACGCCGCGGUGAAUACGUUCCCGGG
rnacentral:rRNA from 1 species